CAGAUCGCGCACACCUAUCGCUACCAAGUGUGCAUCGCGAAUCGUGGUGGGGCCGGGCGAGCGAGCGGAGAGUUGGCAGGCCUGCCCGCUGACUACGUUCUCUCGCUCGUGGACUGUCAGAGUCCACAGUCCUAACUCGGCCUCAGGCUACGAUAGAUCGUAUCUUACGUCGGUUCGAUCUUGCCGCGAAUUCAUCUCGCGCGCGUCAGCCUUGUCCCUACGUCCUCAACUACGAUCCAACGACCUUCGAUCAUCACCGAAACUCACCGGUACCUUUUCUUCCACAGAGACUGUCGUCGGCCAACUUCCUUCCAAAACGGUCCUCUCCUCUCCUUUCGAGUGCUGGUGAACCCAAGAAUUCAAGGAUACCUCGCUGUUCCAAGGAUACCUUCCGCAGGAUACCUAGCUGCUGGGACCUAGGAGUUUAAUACACGCAGCUGAAGCUACAAAUUAGAUGAUAUAAAAAUUGCGGAAUUUUAUAGAGUGAAAGUACGAG
rnacentral:misc_RNA from 1 species